rnacentral:rRNA from 1 species
UGAGGCGCGCCGAGUUUGAUCCUGGCUCAGAACGAACGCUGGCGGCGUGCUUAACACAUGCAAGUCGAACGCGAACGGGUUCUUCGGAACCUUAGUAGAGUGGCGCACGGGUGAGUAACGCGUAAGUAAUCUACCCUGGUGUCUGGAAUAACUCACCGAAAGGUGUGCUAAUACCGGAUACGUUGGUUUACCAAGAAAGGUGGCCUCUACAUGUAAGCUACUGUUUGAAGAUGAGCCCGCGUACCAUUAGCUUGUUGGUGGGGUAACGGCCUACCAAGGCUUCGAUGGUUAGCUGGUCUGAGAGGAUGAUCAGCCACACUGGAACUGACACACGGUCCAGACUCCUACGGGAGGCAGCAGUGAGGAAUUUUGCGCAAUGGGGGCAACCCUGACGCAGCGACGCCGCGUGGAUGAUGAAGGCCUUCGGGUCGUAAAAUCCUGUCAGAUGGAAAGAAAUGUCACAUGCCUAAUAUGUGUGUGAUUUGACGGUA